AGGAUAAACGCUGGCGGCGUGCAUGAGACAUGCAAGUCGAACGGACACUCGGGGCUUGCUCCGAGUGUUAGUGGCGGACGGCUGAGUAACGCGUAGGUGACCUGCCCCGAAGUGGGGAAUAACUGCCCGAAAGGGUGGCUAAUACCGCAUGUGGUGGAACGUUCAUUCGUUCCAGUAAAGCCGCAAGGCGCUUCGGGAGGGGCCUGCGUCCGAUUAGCUCGUUGGUGGGGUAACGGCUCACCAAGGCGACGAUCGGUAGGUGGUCUGAGAGGACGAUCACCCAGACUGGGACUGAGACACGGCCCAGACUCCUACGGGAGGCAGCAGUCGGGAAUUUUGCGCAAUGGACGAAAGUCUGACGCAGCAACGCCGCGUGAGGGAUGACGGCCUUCGGGUUGUAAACCUCUUUUAUCAGGGACGAUAAUGACGGUACCUGAUGAAUAAGUCACGGCUAACUACGUGCCAGCAGCCGC
rnacentral:rRNA from 1 species